AAUCCGUCUCCUUCUACUGGACUGUGCUGCUCCUCGUCUUCCUCAACACCCUCACCAUCGCCUCCGAGCACCACGGGCAGCCCCAGUGGCUCACCGAGACGCAAGGUAUGGGCUCACCGUGUCACCCUCGCACUCCUUGUCCCCAUUGCUGUGUCGGCCCGUCGCUGCGUUGUCCCCUGUCCUCUUCAUGGAGGUGACAGGUGGCUCUGUGUCACCCCACGGUUGUCCCCAACACCGUGUUGUCCUCCCAUCCCCGUUGCUGUGUCAUCCCUGCCACCCUCUCACUUUUGUCACCUUCUUGUCCCUGUCACCACGCUGUCCCUGUCACCAUGUUGUCACUCUCUCCUCCCUGUCACCCUCUCAUCCUUGUCACCCUCCCAUCCCUGCCAGCAUGUAAUCCUUGUCACCCUCUCAUCUCUGUCACCCUCUCAUCCCUGUCACCCUUUCAUCCUUGUCACCCUCCCAUCCCUACCAUCAUGUAAUCCCUGUCACCCUCUCUGUCCUGUCACCCCCUUGUCCCUGUCACGACGUCAUCCUUGUCACCCUCUCUUCCCUGUCACCCUCUCUUCCCUGUCACCCCGUUGUCCCUGUCACCCUGUUGUCCCUGUCACCCCUUUGUCCCUGUCACCACGUCAUCCCUGUCACCCUCUCCUCCCUGUCACCCUCUCAUCCUUGUCACCCUCUCAUCCCUGCCAUCAUGUAAUCCUGUCACCCUCUCAUCUGUCCUGUCACCCCCUUGUCCCUGUCACCAUGUCAUCCUUGUCACCCUCUCAUCCUUGUCACCCUCCCAUCCCUGCCAGCAUGUAAUCCCUGUCACCCUCUCCUCCCUGUCACCCUCUCUGUCCUGUCACCCCCCUUGUCCCUGUCACCCUCUCAUCCCUGUCACCCUCUCAUCCCUGCCAUCAUGUAAUCCCUGUCACCCUCUCCUCCCUGUCACCCUCUCAUCUGUCCUGUCACCCCCUUGUCCCUGUCACCGACCGUCAUCCUUGUCACCCUCCCAUCCCUGCCAGCAUG
rnacentral:lncRNA from 7 species